UCAAGUGAAUAAGGGUUUAUGGUGGAUGCCUUGGAGUUAAGAGGCGAAGAAGGCCGUGACAAGCUGCGAAAAGCCGUGGGGAGGAGCAAAUAUCCUGUGAUCCGCGGAUAGCCGAAUGGGGUAACCCGCAAGAAGUGAUUCUUGCAUCCAACAUUUGAAUAUAUAGAGUGUGGAAGCGAAACUGGGGGAACUGAACCAUCUAAGUACCCCGGGAAUAGAAAACAAAAGUGAUUCCGAGAGUAGCGGCGAGCGAAAUUGGAGAUAGCCUAAACCGUCCAAUAGGGCGGGGUUGUAGGGCUGCGUGGCGUAAGCAAUGAGUUACAAAACGGCAAUAUAGCAGAAAGGUUUGGGAAGGCCUGACAAAGAGGGUGAAAUCCCCGUAUGCGGCAUAUUGACGACUCAUACGCAGUUCCUGAGUACGGCGGGGCACGAGAAACCCUGUCGGAAUCUGGGUCGACCACGAUCCAAGGCUAAAUACUACUUAACUACCGAUAGUGCAGAAGUACCGUGAGGGAAAGGCGAAAAGAACCCCGGUGAGGGGAGUGAAAUAGAACCUGAAACCGUAAACCCACAACAGGUUAAAGCCGGAUUUAUCCGGUGAUAGCGUGUCUUUUGUAGAAUAAGCCUGCGAGUUACGAUAUGCAGCGAGGUUAAGGAAUAGAAGUUCCGGAGCCGUAGGGAAACCGAGUCUGAAUAGGGCGCCAUAGUUGCAUGUCGUAGACCCGAAGCCAAGUGAUCUAGUUAUGAGCAGGUUGAAGCUGCGGUAAAACGCAGUGGAGGACCGAACCCUAGUCUGUUAAAAAAGGCAGGGAUGACUUGUGACUCGGAGUGAAAGGCUAAACAAACUUGGAAAUAGCUGGCUCUCCCCGAAAUGCCUUGAGGGACAGCCUCAUCAAAAUCUCUACGAGGUAGAGCACUGGAUGGACUAGGGGGCGUCACAGCCUACCAAACCCAAUCAAACUCCGAAUGCGUAGAGACAACUGAUGGGAGUGAGACUGCGGGCGACAAGGUUCGUAGUCGAGAGGGAAACAGCCCAGACCUUCAGCUAAGGUCCCAAAUUAUCGCUAAGUGUAAAAUGAUGUGUGAUUGCGAAGACAGCCAGGAGGUUGGCUUAGAAGCAGCCAUUCCUUAAAAGAGUGCGUAAUAGCUCACUGGUCGAGUAAUGAUGCGCAGACAAUGUAACGGGGCUAAGCGAUAAACCGAAGCUAGGGAAUCAUGUAUUGCUUGCAAUAUAUGGUUGGUAGGGGAGCAUUCCAUAGACCGAAGAAGGUGUACUGUAAGGUAUGCUGGAGGGAAUGGAAGAGAGAAUGCAGGUAUAAGUAUACGAAAAGACGGGUGAGAUCCCCGUCCGCAUAAAUCCUAAGGUUUCCUGGGUAAAGGUCAUCUGCCCAGGGUAAGUCGGAGCCUAAGACGAGGGCGAAAGCCGUAGUCGAUGGUAAACUGGUUCAUAUUCCAGUACCUUGAUUAGUUUUGAUGGAAUGACACGUGAGGUGAAAGUCCGCCGGGCGACGGUUGUCCCGGUCGAAGCAGUAAGUUGAUGAGGGGUGCAGGCAAAUCCGCAUUCUAAGAUGAGCUGUGACAGUGAGUGGAGCUACGGCGAAGCGAAGUGACUGUAAUCAAGGCGUCAAGAAAUAAUUUCUAAAGCUAGGCUAAUUAAGUCCGUACCGUAAACCGACACAGGUAGGAAAGAUGAGAAAUCGAAUGCGCUCGAGAGAACUCGCGUAAAGGAACUCGGCAAAAUGCACACGUAACUUCGGGAGAAGUGUGGCCGUCGCAAGCUGUUAAAAGUUAAAAGCGGCGGUAUCAUAAAGCAGUCCCAGGCGACUGUUUACCAAAAACACAGGCCUCUGCAAAUCAGCAAUGAGACGUAUAGGGGCUGACACCUGCCCGGUGCCGGAAGGUUAAGAGGAGCGGUUAGCGGUAACGCGAAGCUGUGAAUCGAAGCCCCGGUAAACGGCGGCCGUAACUAUAACGGUCCUAAGGUAGCGAAAUUCCUUGUCGGGUAAGUUCCGACCCGCACGAAAGGUGUAACGAUCUGGGAGCUGUCUCUACGCGAGACUCGGUGAAAUUUAUGUACCGGUAAAGAAGCCGGUUACCCGUGGUUAGACGGAAAGACCCCGUGAACCUUCACUGUAACUUAUCAUGGGGACUUGGUUAAAUAUGUGUAGGAUAGGUGGGAGACUAUGAAACAUGGGCGUUAGCUUGUGCGGAGUCAUCGGUGAAAUACCACCCUUAUUUGAUUAGGUUUCUAACCCGGACCAUGAAGCUGGUUCGGGGACAAUGAUAGGCAGGCAGUUUGACUGGGGCGGUCGCCUCCCAAAGAGUAACGGAGGUGCGCGAAGGUUCCCUCGUCCUGGUUGGAAAUCAGGAUAUGAGUGUAAAGGCACAAGGGAGCUUGACUGCGAGACUGACAGGUCGAGCAGGUACGAAAGUAGGUCUUAGUGAUCUGGCGGUAGCGAGUGGAAGCGCCGUCACUUAACGGAUAAAAGGUACUCCGGGGAUAACAGGCUGAUCUUCCCCAAGAGUUCACAUCGACGGGAAGGUUUGGCACCUCGAUGUCGGCUCAUCGCAUCCUGGGGCUGAAGCAGGUCCCAAGGGUUUGGCUGUUCGCCAAUUAAAGCGGUACGUGAGCUGGGUUCAGAACGUCGCGAGACAGUUCGGUCCCUAUCUGCCAUGGGCGUUGGAAAGUUGAGAGGAGCUGGUUUUAGUACGAGAGGACCGAAUUGGACGAACCUCUGGUGUAUCUGUUGUCCUGCCAAGGGCAAGUGCAGAGUAGCUACGUUCGGAAGGGAUAACCGCUGAAGGCAUCUAAGUGGGAAGCCCACCUCAAGAUUAACUUUCCCUAGAGUUUUAAACUCUCUAAAGGUACCAGGAAGACUACCUGGUUGAUAGGUUGGAGGUCUAAGCACAGUAAUGUGUUCAGCCGACCAAUACUAAUCUACCGUGAGGCUUGACCA
rnacentral:rRNA from 1 species